rnacentral:RNase_P_RNA from 1 species
CAAGAAGACCGGAUGACCGCUGCGGCUGCGGGUUCCCGCAACCGGAGAGGAAAGUCCGAGCUCCAUCGGGCAGGGCGCUUCGUAACACGAAGGGGGGGUGACCCUACGGAAAGUGCCACAGAAACUAUACCGGCCUGCUUAUGGCAGACCAAGGUUGAAAAGGUGAGGUAAGAGCUCACCGGCGUUUCGAGAGAUCGAACGGCCGGGUAAACCCCGCCCGGAGCAAGGCCAAAUAGGAGGGCAUAAGGUGCCCGACCUGCCCUCGGGUUGGUCGCUUGACCCUGGCGGCAACGCCAGGGCUAGAUAGAUGGUCAUCGUCCUUCCGGCAGCGGAAGGAUACAGAACUCGGCUUACAGGUCUUCUUGGCCU